CUUCUGCCCCACAGUGUGAUGAACAGUCCAUCUCUGAUAAAAAGAUACCAUUUCCUGGUCCCCUGAUGAGGGAUCUGACACAGAUCGAGGAGGUGUUAAGGUUUAUCCGGGUGACAUAUAAAGAGAGUUCACGCUCCCUGUGUAAUGCUGAGCAGCGUUAUUCCUAUUUCUUUUGGUUGAUUAUGGAGUGCUUCUGUGAACGAAAUAAACAAGUAAACAUGGCUGACAUUUCUGAUCUGCUCAAGAAUGGUUUCUGCCUUGUGAGUGAAAAG